ACUCACGUUGGCGGACGAUAUGAAGACAUGUCAGCCAGCACCGUGUGUUUGCUGCUCGCUGCUGGUGCUUUAAUGUUCCACGACAGCUCGAUGUGAAUUAUAACAAUCACUUUAAUACUCCUCGUCAUUUCACGUGGUUUCCGGCCGGAUUUGUUUUCACGGUGUCGUCGAACAUUUAUGACGCAACUUCCUCCUCUCCGCACAACAAGGGAAGUUAACGUUUUUCUUUUUAGCCUUCAAGAUGAGUUUGUUUUUGCCCAAAUUAGCAUGCAAAAAAGACAUCGAUGAAGUCAUCAAAAGCGUAGCAGAGAAGGUCGUGGUUUUGAGGUUUGGGAGAGACGAAGACUCCGUUUGUCUGCAGCUCGAUGAGAUUCUGUCAAAAACUGCCCACGACUUGAGCAACAUGGCAUCCAUCUACAUCGUCGACGUGGAUAAAUCUCCCAUCUACACACGAUACUUCGACAUCAGUUACAUCCCCUCCAUUGUUUUCUUUUUCAACGGGCAGCACAUGAAGGUGGAUUACGGGAUGAAACGAGGUCUGCAAGGGGAUGAACAGGAGGAGGAAGGUGGUACAAGCUGUGGGUCUCAGGAGACUCUUAAACGGUCCCGCAAGCAGAGGAGGGAGAACGAUUUGGAGGGGGAGGGAACCCGCGGGGGGUGUCUGCCUCAGGAGAUCCUGCUCCACAUCUUACGGUGUGCUGGGGGAUGGGAACCAGGCUGGAACCAGACUGGAACCAGUCUUAUCACAUGCCAGAGCUGUGGCGUUGCUUUGAGUUUGAGUUGAGCCAACCAGCCAGCUCCUACCUGAAGGCCACACACCCAGAACUCAUCAAACAGAUCAUUAAAGGCACUCCUACCACUCUCAGGAACAAGUGGUAUUACAAGACAGGACGGACUGGAGCGGGUUCAUUUCAGUAAAUGUCUUUGCAACACAAUGCAUAGACGUCUUUGACAUAAAGUUAACACCAUACUGUCUUCACAUUUGAUAAUGUUUUAAACACAAAGUCUGAGACGCAGAUGGUCUGAUUAUUGCCUGUGUAAAGUACGACAGUUAGAGAUAUAACAUUUGGGAGCUUUAAAAAAACUAAAUCACACUCACACAUUUUCUUUUCUUCUCUUAAUCUUGAAAGAUAAAUCACAAACAAAGUGCAUCUACAUCUGAAGGGGCCAUGUGGAGUCGUGGAUCACAGGUGGUGCUGUGGAAGAUUGUUUUGAUGAAAUGGAUCUCUGUUCCGUUUGCCUUUUGUGUUUUACAAGCACGUAAACAAGGAUGCACGUACAUCCAGACAUGGGGCGAUAUGACGGCAGACAUGUCUGCCAACUGCAGAGGGCAGCAAAGCAAAUAUAUACUAUCGAUGACACCCCUCAAAGUCCUGGUGGCCAAUAGCAGUGACACCCUCACACUGCUGAAAAUGAGCAGUUGGCCCCAUGUUUCACCUGCAGGUACUAACAUAUAGAAGGAAG